rnacentral:rRNA from 1 species
CGCUGGCGGCGUGCCUAAUACAUGCAAGUCGAACGGUCUUUCUAUGGAAGCUUGCUUCCGCUGAGAAGAUAGUGGCGAACGGGUGAGUAACACGUGGGUAACCUGCCCAUAAGAGGGGGAUAACAUCCGGAAACGGGUGCUAAUACCGCAUAGUUUUCUUGAUCGCAUGAUCGGGAAAGGAAGACGGCCUUUGUGCUGUCGCUUAUGGAUGGACCCGCGGCGUAUUAGUUAGUUGGUGAGGUAACGGCUCACCAAGACGAUGAUACGUAGCCGACCUGAGAGGGUGAUCGGCCACAUUGGGACUGAGACACGGCCCAAACUCCUACGGGAGGCAGCAGUAGGGAAUCUUCCGCAAUGGACGAAAGUCUGACGGAGCAACGCCGCGUGAGUGAAGAAAGGUUUUCGGAUCGUAAAACUCUGUUGUCAGAGAAGAACAAGUUGGAGAGUAACUGCUCCAGCCUUGACGGUAUCUGACCAGAAAGCCACGGCUAACUACGUGCCAGCCGCGGC